AUAGUCCAGGAGAUGUUCCUGUGGCUAGUUACCUUGGGAUGGGUGGGAAACGUUUUUAUUCUCUUUCAGAGUGUAAGGAGGAUAAGCUAAAGGUAGGGCAUUGCUGCAAUAGUAUUUGCCUGUGACUUCGAUUUUUAGGUGGGGUUGGGUACUAAUCGGUCCCAUGUUAUUUGUUGUUAGAUGGGGUCCCUCAGCAUCUGGGGUGAAACCAUCUGAUGAGUUUUAUAGGUAGGAGAGGUACCCCCCCACACACACACACAGGUCAGUCAUUUUCAGAUGGGGUCCCUCAGCAUCUGGGGUGAAACCAUCUGGUUCAAUCCUUAGCACAUGAGAAGCUUGUGUGUUGUCACUAGAAAGGGUACUGCAGGUCAGUACACCAUCUCCUACGAUUAGCAGGCACCGGUUCCGUGUCUAGCAUAGUGGGUAGUACAGUUGAUGCCCUGUUCUGUCCUUGGGACUAAAUUCUGAGGUAGGUUUUUAAUUGCAUCACCGUCGGGACGACGUCGCAGAAACUUGGGGUGGAAUGUAGUGGGACAAGGUGAUUGACAGCUGUGUUCACCUAUCGGAGAGUAGGGCUCCCUACUUAAGGGCUGAUUGGUUGAUGCCGUGUAUGUGUCAUGUCUGAUCCCUCCCCCCGUGUCUGUUGACGGUCGUCACAGUGUGUGUUGGCUCCGAUGCUGGUGCCUGUUAGCACUGUUCCAUGGAUUUUAAGAGUGCUAGUCUCUCAGGUUGACUCCCUGUAUGCCAGGGCACUGGUGGCUGCCAUGACAGCUGUAUGCCGGUGUCCGUAAGGUGUCGUGCCUGGCGUAAGAAGCGGGUUCUCCCUCUCGUUCCGGGCUGUGAUUAGGUCUGCCGCCUACCUCUUCGCGCUGCUAUUCAGCUUGCAGUGUGCACGUGUUGACAUCAUUAAGGGGUGCUGCUGGUGUCCGGUCAAUCUUUUAAUAUAGCACCGUAGUGCUCAAAUCCAUAUGUGUUGGGGACAUGAACGUUUUUGUUUAAAGAUUAAGUGAUGCCCUGAAUGAGCUCUGUGAUUCCCCUAUCCAACCUAUUUAAUUAUUUUGUUUCUUUUGUUAACUUCUUAUUUUGUAUUUAUAAUUUGUUUGCUGCACGUGACUCCUCAU